UUGAAUCUCUACUCUCACAGUUAAACCAUCAUAUCAACUUCAAAUCUUCUUACUCGCAUCCUUGAAACCAAUCAUUUGAUCGAUAAUAAUUUUAAAGACUGGCUUAGAAACCUCAAGAUUGUUCUGACCUUAGAAAAGUUAAGCUAUAUUCUUAACUAGGAUCCUGUUGUGUUAUCAAACCAUCCUACUACUGAGUAGAGAGCUGCCUUUGAGAAGUGGAUAGAUGAAGAUAGUUGGGUCAAGUGUUAUAUGCUGGC
rnacentral:lncRNA from 1 species